ACUUGGUGCUGAUGUUUGGAGAGGUGACAUUCAAGUAAAAGAUCAUGACGCUGAGCAAUACCUUAAGCAAGGCCACUCAGGGAGCUGAACAUCAGGAGCUGAACCAGAUGGCAGAAUCUCUAGUUGAUGAGGGAGCUGAACAUCAGGAGCUGAACCAGAUGGCAGAAUCUCUAGUUGAUGAGGGAGCUGAACAUCAGGAGCUGAACCAGAUGGCAGAAUCUCUAGUUGAUGAGGGAGCUGGCACGAAUGCUGACAGAUGGGACAAUGACCUUUCCUCAUCCUUCUCCUGCUCCAUUUGAUUCCUUCUUCCUCACAAGGCCAGAAAAGACCAGACAAGAGGCAGGGACCAGUAUCCCGGAGCACGUUGAUGCGAUUGACCAGAGCCGGCAACUAUAUCUUCUUGCAGUCGGGACCAGGAAGAGCAGCAUCCAUACUUACUUCAUCAUCCUGGACAAGCGAGCCUUGCCGUGCAAGAACGAGUGCUCUUGGUGCCUUCAAUUAAUUUUUCCAGACUCACUUUGGUUUUGGUACUGCUUACAAUACAAUACUGCGCAACAUGUACACCUUCAUACAGACAACUGUGUACAACAUAGACAUUGGGGAGGUUAAGGAGACACCAAGGGUUGUUGAGCUCAGAGCUAGACUCCUGCACUAAUGCCAAUUAAGUUAUGAUGAUGUGUUUUGUUUGCCAUGCUAGUCAUGGAAGUACCAACUUGCUCGUGAUGCAUUUCAAGUUGAUGCAUGGAAUGUGCCCUGGUAGAACUCUUAACUCAGAUUGUUGCUGUGUAUUUGGUACAUUUUCAGGCUUUAGGAAGCACUAUGACCUUAGCCAAGAUACACCAAAAUUACAUGGCACAUAAUUGAGAAACGUUCAGUUAGGAUAGACCAGCUAUAGGUCCAGGAAAGAUGUCAAGGCUCAAUGACCUGAAAGAAGGCAAUGAUAUUGCUGCCAAGUUGAAUGUCUCAGUGCACACACAUGUUUUGUCAGUUAAGUGGGAAAAGCAGCACGGUACAAAAUGUCAUCUUGAUUUGGUCAUACAGUUGAAGUCGGAAGUUUACAUACACCUUAGCCAAACACAUUUAAACUCAGUUUUCACAAUUCCUGACAUUUAAUCUUAGUAAAAAUUCCCCGUCUUAGGUCAAAUAGGAUCACCACUUUAUUUUAAGAAUGUGAAAUGUCAGAAUAAUAGUAGACAGAAUUAUUCAUUUCAGCUUUUAUUUCUUUCAUCACAUUCCCAGUGGGUCAGAAGUUUACAUACACUCAAUUAGUAUUUGGUAGGAUUGCCUUAUAAUUGUUUAACUUGGGUCAAACGUUUUGGGUAGCCUUUUACAAGCUUCCCACAAUAAGUUGGGUGAAUUUUGGCCCAUUCCUCCUGACAGAGCUGGUGUAAUUGAGUCAGGUUUGUUGGCCUCCUUGCACAACGCGAAAAAACAAACAAAAUAGCAUGGUAAAUAGCACGGCAGCCAUCCCCUCCGGCGCCAUCACUUAGAGAUGUACAGAUAGAUGUGAUUAUGGACAGCGAGGAAGAAGUAGAAGAGACAAGUGUGGUGGGAAGAUGUGUGUUGAGGAAGAAUGGCAUCAGACAUGAUAAAGAAGAAUCUGAACCAGUAGGAGUGACAUUUUUGGAGAAAGUGGACCCUUUCCUUUUGGCCCGAUCCGUUUGUGGUUUCAGGUUGGGCGAGAAAGGAGUUGGCGGCAAAUUAAUCAGUGGACUUGUGAUAUGUGUUUAUGUUUCUUUUGACCAGAGGGAAUAGACUCUUCAUGUCACACUAAUUGGGUCAAGAUCUGUUUCUUGCUCUUCUGAACAGGGAACUAUUGAAAUGAGUGAUUUCUGGGGUAGCGUUAAGUGUGGAGGUGGAUCAAUUGAAGUUGAAUAUUCCUGGUGUUGUGACAUCCUCUGUUUGAUGCAACACAGACACAUUGGAGUCAUUAUCAGUCCUUUUGAGAUUUGAGUCAGAGUCUCUACCAGACAAAGUCAUGUUAGGAUAUAUCAGUUACCCUGUUAGAGCUUUGGUGCAGAAUCCAUUGCGCUGUUUCAGGUGCAACAUUUAUGGUCAUGUUGCAGCAGUGUGUAGGAGGGAGAUUCCAAGAUGUGGGACGUGUGCAGGAGGGCAUGGGACAGAGGAUUGUGGAGUUUCGGUUGAUAAAGUUGUGUGUCACCUGUAGGGUUGUACAUUUAGCAGGGUAUUGCAAAUGUCCGGGGCGAGAGAGGCAGGUUGAAGUGGCCAGAGACAACAUAGUGCAGAGGGUGUUGAGGCAGUGAAGAGAAUGGAGGAGGAUGGGUCAAGGGGAGGGAUCCUUAGAGAAUACCAGUGAGUAGUAGAUUUGUGCCAGCUCAAAGGGAUAGGGCAACGAGUGAGUUUUGCUUCAGUAAUGUUGGAUUCUUAGUGUUCAUAGCAAUGGUUACAAAUUGUAUGUUGAAGGGUGGGGUCCUGUCCUCCCAGGCCAUUGGCAUGGUGCAGGAGCAGAUAUGGUCAAAGUAGUGGAAUGGUGUAGUGGGUUUUCAAUUAGUCUAGGUGGCUGAUGCAGAGAAGGACCUGGUUGUAUGAGAUUUUACUACAGAAGAGUUAAUGGGGUGGUGAUUUAAAAAAAAAACGAAAUAGUGGUAUAUAGGUGUAGGGUUAGUUGGUGGUGUAAUUCUUUACUUUUAGGAACAGGAGUAAUGAAAAUAAUUGAAUGUAGGUUGGCCAUGACAGGCCUCACACUUUAGUACAGUAGGUUAGCACGACUGGAGUUGGCUAGUGAGUUACACUGGCGCCUGCUAGAUUGUUAUGCGCUACGCCUCACAUUUGUAACUUGUUUAGCGAACGUGUAACAUCAGAACCUGUAAAUAAUUGUACUAGCUAGCUUUGUAACAUAGUUGACGAGAGUUGACAUUGGUUAUGAUUAGGACAGUGGAUGCAUUUCAAUCUCACAAAAUUAUAGGCAUGACAAAAUAUAGGAUUUCAAACACAUGUUUAUCCAGCAAGCUAGCUAGCUAAGUUGACUAACAAACAGUGAGGAGAAACAAUAAUACAAACAUUUACUGUUGUAAAUCUCAAAAAUUUAAGCUGGUUUUACUAUAAAAAAACAUUUGCCUAAGCAUGUCUGAUAAACAUGGCUGUAGAUAGAAACUGUCUGUCUACCUACCUAGGUCAUUGAGUAAAUGUUGAGGUUCAUGCCAUAUUUCUCUAUAUUAGGUUAGAUAUUGUUGUAAAUGUAAUCUCUGUGCCUGUGCACAUGUAUGCGUAUUCAACUAGUCUACCCUAAUGUUGACCUACGUUGGCACAGUUCAACUGUCGUUCAAACUGUACAAUAUAGCAUACUUUUUUGUUGUUGUCUUACAGACAAUACUGUGUGGUGACUGUGUUUCUUCCUGAAGUGGAUUCUAGAUACAGAAACAUAAUUCCUUUGCCAGCGUGCGUCAUUGUAGCAGAACUAUAUCCAGUUCUCUUAGCCACAGAUUGUUACACCACAUAAUAUGGUUUAACCGAUGAUUUUUGGUAUCCAUUAAUAGGAUUUACAGGAUAGUUGCAAUUUGGCAUAGAACAGAGAAUCUUCGACCAACCUUAGCGAUGCCAUCUUUGUCCUCGAUUCAGGGGAACAGGAGUCUCAUAAAAUGUGUCCAGUUGCAGGGGGUCAGUUUGAAUUUAUUAAAAUAAACACUUUUUUUGCUCCAUGAAGUAAUCCAACAAUGUGUAAGCUGCCAUCUUGUCUAUUUCAUGUCUUCUCUCAUUGAUCGAGACAGGUCUCUGUCAUCUUGACAUGCACCACUUUGGGGUGGACACCCACCUGUCUCGAUCAGCUAGAUAUAGUUGACUAGAUAUAACUAGAUAUAAAUAAAAAAAUAUGUCACCAAAAUUCUUUGGGUAAAUCACAUUAUCUGGUGUAACAAUCUGUAGCUACAGUUCUCUGCACCUGUGUGCCUCUGCACCUGAGACAAACUUGGACACACUGAACUGUUUUACACUAUUCAUUAAAAAAAAUGGUAUGUUACUUUUACCAUAUACCAUUCUUGUUGAAUACCCA